UCGAGUGUUAUAGAGCUUUAGUUUUCCCAGACACCAACAUACGCUUAUUUUUAUUUGUACUGCCCACAGCAGGAAUUAUAACUAAAGUAUACAUGUAACACAAUGUUCGUUCACGUUACCCGUGAGCACCGGCAGGUAACAGCGUUGCUAUUCCGAUCCAAAGUGUGCGGCUAGAUUUACAAUUUCCAUGAUACGGUGGCGCGUGACUGCAAAGGUCGGACGUGCGAUUACGCUACUUAUAUAUUUCUUUUUUAAGACCCGCGCGAGAAAGAGAUUAGUCUACGGGAGGCAUAUCAAUUCGCUCUUACAUAAAACCUUCUACAUAUAAUUCCUUCUCAUCCGUCAUUAGUUCUACUCUUCCGGAUCCAAGGACGUGCUUACGCAAGCGGCGAACGGUUCGAUUAAUAUUCAACCUGUAGAUAUCGUACGAUAUUUCAGCACGCGAUAUUUCAGCAAUGAUUGUCUAGCCACGCGACGGGGUCAAGUUUAACGCAAUUGAACUCUUCUUUGUGUUCGCUUGGACCUUGCAUGUCAGUUCCAAUUUAUUAAUCUUUCCGGUUUUUGCGGCCAAUCCCGCCAGAAUAUCCUUCACAUAAGAAUUUACUUUGUUGCAGCGCAGAUUGCAUCACUCUACAGAAUUCUCAGUCUGCUGCAAUCUUCGAUAGUGAUGUUGCUGAUACACUUUACGCGGAAACUUGUAGAGCGCGAACUGUCGCAAUAAAACCGCAUCCUCGCAAAGCGAGUCGGCUGUCAGGACGUGCGCUUGUUUUGUCAUUAAUGUAGAAAGAGAAACUACCUAAAGAGUUCAUUUCAAAAUCAAAAUCCAAAUUAAUCCAACAAUUUCAGACACGUUAUUCGUCGCAAAAAAGUUCGCUUAUAUAAAUAUAUACAAUUAUCUUACAUAAUUGUCUUGUUUUAUAUGUGAAAAAGAGAACAAUACGUAACUGUUAUGGAUACACCAGGAUGUAAAAGAUUAUCUUAUUAUCUAAUUUUCACGCUUAUUUGUAUUAGUGGACGAGCCACUAUGAGUAAGCAAAAGAUUGCGAGGUGUUUACAAGUGUUUCCAAAGAUUUUUUAUUCUACGCUCCUGUUAUUAAACAGCAAAGCAUUACUUGUCAAUAUAAAUCAUUGUAAAUUGUUCUUAGAUAUUAUCUUCAAUUUCCGAUCGUUCCGAGCAUCUACAGUUAGCGGAUCCUGGAUAAUAAUUUUAUGUACUCAUUAUAGUAUCUUCAGAGCUUAGAAGAAAAUAAUGUCACGAACGUUUCACGACGUGGAUUAUUAAAAAAUGAUCGAAUUUCUGCUAAAAUUUUUUUCUAAGUUAAACUGAUGUAUUUGAGAUGAAAAAUAAUUGUUUCUGAAUAUCUCAGAGAAGGCCAUUUUUCCGAGAUAUAACACAAACGCGUUAUCCAUAUCUCUAGUUUUAUUUUUUAUCGUAAAAGAGAUAAAAUAAUCGUAACAUCCUACUUUGGCGAAUUUUAGUAUGUGAUUGAACGAAUGACGUAAGAUCCGUAUAUUACGAUUACAUCGAUGUUGUGUAAAACACUCGACGAAGUAAAUGUCACUAAGCAGACUUAGAAAACUUGAUAAAACUUGUGAUUAAAAUUAUCAGAAUAUGCGAAGUUUCUGUCGGUAUUCUUUCUUACUUAAUUCAUAUCUUUGAUCUAAAACAAAAGUAACCUUUCAACGACUGUACAGUCUAUUAUACGGGCUGACAUCCAGCUGUAUACGUCAAAUAGCGCACGACGAUAUAUUGUGCCAGCUGUUCCUACAUGAUAAUAUAUAAAAAUGUAUGAUGUGCCAUUCUUAUAUGAUAAUUAUGCAUGGUCAUACGUGUUGCACAUAAACAUCACAUGCCACAUCAAUAAGAUCGAAAAGGCCACAGCGACGAAAGUAUAAUCACAAAUUUCGUGAACGUGCUGUUGCAAAACAUUGAUGUUAAUUUGCAUUUCUGCUAUCUAUUUAUUACUACGAAAUACAUAUGUCCCUCUUAUAUUUACCUUUACAAGAAACAUGGUAACGAAUGAAGAAAAAAAGAAAUAUGGGCGAGGCUCUCCAAUGAAAGGCGCUAAACGGGAUGACGCAAACUUCCUUCGAAACUUUUGGUACGCAGGAGAAAGGUCCUUUGUCUACGUUCAUUUGUAACUGUCGUAGUGGGAGAGCAAAGGACGUGCGCAGCAGAAAUUUGUGGAACGCGUCUGAAGUCCAUCUCGACAUCUUUACGGCAUGGUAAUGUAAAAGAUGACGAUUUCCGUAAAAUAAGCAAACUAAUCGUAAGUCAAAUUGUGACAUUUCUCAAAAUAUAAUCUGAGGAAUAUCCUAAAAUUCUCUUCCACGUAAGACAUUUUGUUUCGUUUAAAUUUGACGCAAACUGAUGCUCGUACGAGGAAAAAUUUUAACCAGUGUUGGCUAUCUAUGCGCGCACACACAGUCGAGAUACUCGAUGAAUAUGUAAAAUAUUCUUCCAUUUUCUAUUUCGUAAUCCAUAUUAGAUAAACAAUAAAAAUCACUGCUUCGUGUGUAUCCCUUCUCUGUCCUAGUUACAUCAUAAACGCGAGAUCAUAAUAAUCAGCAAAAUAUUAUGAUUAAAAAUAUUACGACUUGAUGCUUGACGAAAGAAGAGGCAAAGCAGAAAAUGCGACCUCUUUCCAACCAGUAACUGGCCAAGAAUUUGAGUUAUUGGCUAGUAUUUUCUCGUUCAAUUUCUGAACAGUUACUAUCUGAUAUCCAAUGAAAACUGGCUUCCUGAUAAUGUCUGGUUAGUAACGAGUUUUUCCUGCAAAUUUUUCCACUUGGAAGCCUUUUACAUUUUACUUUUGCAUUCUACUUUUAUAUUUUAAAACGGCUAUCUAAGAGGCAGCUAGACGUAACGAUAACGCUUGAUAAGCUGCUUGUAUAAUUAGAAGUACGUGUCAUUUUACUGAAUAAACAGGUAGAUUCGUUUUCGCAAUGGACUUACUACGAAUUACAACGCAGCAUAUUAUCUGCAGUUAACGUAACAUAUGAUCGGGAUGAGAUAAACGGCUAAUUUUAUCAAGUAGCGGCAGACGGGCGCCAACUUUCCCAUUGGUUCUCCUUGAAAGCGACUGGCCGCGGGUCUCCCACGACGACGUACGGUGACGAGGCGAGCCGGUCGAGCCUCCGCGGAAGCGACGUUCCCAUUGGCCAUCGCAAAGUGCUCGUAGUCCGCUAAUAACCCGAUAUUGUUACGUCAGAGACUAUUACUGUCAUUACAAAUUUUUAUUUACGUAAGAAGAACACACCACGGAAGCGGAUGGCGUUCUGCAAAAAACAACAACAAUCACGACUGACGACUUCCUGAAAGUAACGUGCCGUAAUUCACCUUGAAAAAAGAAAAAAAUGAAGAGUUUCAGCAAAACGGUAUUCCAGGAAGGGCACGAAAGAUUCCUUACAAUAGUCUUGCUAUUGUCGAGCAAUAUAUUAAUAUCCACGUACGAUAUCUUUUCCUUCGGGGAAACUCUCAUUCACGGUGAUGACUGAGAUAUUUCAUGACGUUCCCGGCGAAGCUGAUGAAAUUUGCCGAACUACGUGCACGGGCUCACGUUAAUUUGCCAGCGACGUGUCGGUACACUUUCCAGCGACCCGACAACCACCAGGGAUCCUUAAGUGGCGCCAAUGGAUCGACCAGAAUGCGAAGGUCAUUCCUGUCAGAGGCUCGUCGCACUCAACCAAUCAGCAACAACCACUCCGGAACGCCUUUCAGCCCGGAAUGCGUUGACUCGCAUGGUAACAGCGUACCGCACGUGACCACCAGGGGGGAAACCCCGAGUGUCGAUUAACUCGACCCUCGAUGUAUAUGUGUUGGAGAAAAUUCUUUUGAUGUCCAAUUACAUUAAAAAUACCAAAAUCACUGCCAAAAUUAUCACGUGAAAAAGAACGGACAAUUGUGGCAUUGUCUAAAAUAUACAGGGUGUCUAAGCAGAAGUGUCCGACCGGUUAUAUAUAUGUAGAAUUCAUUGAACUGAAUAGACAAAAACUAUCUUAUUAUUAAAUAUUUUUACAUAUUAACGAAAAAAAUUAGCCAACCAGUCCGACACGUAAGUUCAGAUACUCUGUAGAUGAGUUAGAAAAAAUUAUCAAGAAUCUAUUCUGAAAAUUAUAAAAUUGUAAUUUAUAAAUUAAAUCAGAUUGAUUUUUUUCAAAAUUUCGUGUAUCUACUAAGAAAAAUUCAUUAUUAAAAAAUUUAUAAUACUUAUAUUAUAUUACAUUUAAUUCUAUAACCAUUUUAAUUUCAACAUAAUAUAUAUAUGUGGCGUUUUACUUAUCACAAGUAUUGAAAGUGCUUAUUAAAGUUGGUAGAUUACUGUAAAUAAUUUUUUAUUAUGCAAUAAAUGUACAACAUAUGUGUGUAAAAUAAUCCUGCAUAUACAUACACAAUUUUUCGAAUACUAUACCAUAUUUUAUAACGUGUCUACUGACUUGAAUUUGUCAAUUUGGCGCCUGCGUAGUCAAAUUACAUUGCAACUAAAAUUUCUAUACGCGUAUAUACAGAAUAGUUCAUAAUCUGCAACAUUAUUGUAAAAAUACAGGGUUAUUUUGUAUUAGCUCGAUUAUAACAUUAUAACAUAAUUGCUUAAAUAUAUGGCAAGUAUGGCCAGACACAAAUCUAUUUAAAUGAUUAUAGAUGUUACAUAAUGCAUUGUUUACAAAUUUAUUAUCUUUAGAAAAUUGCUCACUAUUAUUUAACUGUUCUCAUGUCAUUUGUGAAUAAGUUUAGUUUCACUCAUUAGCUUUUCAAUAAAAUAGCACUUCAUAAGUCUAGAUCAAUCGAUUAACAGCGUAUACUCCAUAAUAUUUAAAAAUUUGAUAAUCCCAAAAUGCGAUGCAAUAGUUGAAUAUACAAAUGUCAGGUGU